rnacentral:lncRNA from 1 species
AGCAUGUGCUCAAAAGGAGUGCCACUUAUCCUAUCUUUCUAUUUACAAGACCUACACGGAAUUAGGAUGUCCAUAAAACUUACAAAGUGGGUGAAGUAAAACCUUCAAUUGACCAUAUUACUGGGGCCAACAUCAGGUUUUUUGCCUGUAAUCUGCUUUAGGGCCAUCUAAGAUGUCUGCAUCAUAAAUAUAGUUUAAAAAAAAUGAAUAAUAUCAACUCAAAAUGAAUCAUCUUAAAAACUAUAACAAAGAACACAAUUAGCACGGAAUAGUCAUAUUUUUCCAUAACAAAUAUCUUAAAUGUGCUACCACAACCUC